rnacentral:rRNA from 1 species
GCAGCCACUCAUUCAAAGAGUGCGUAAUAGCUCACUGGUCGAGUGAUCCUGCGCCGAAGAUUUCCGGGGCUAAAACUUACUACCGAAGCUACGGCAUCAGUAAUGAUGGGUAGGGGAGCUUCCCAUACGGGUUGAAGCAUGACCGUAAGGACAUGUGGACAGUAUGGGAGUGAGAAUGUUGGCAUGAGUAGCGAGAUGUGGGUGAGAAUCCCACAGGCCGUAAACCCAAGGUUUCCAGGGGAAGGUUCGUCCGCCCUGGGUUAGUCGGGACCUAAGCUGAGGCCGAAAGGCGUAGGUGAUGGACAACAGGUUGAUAUUCCUGUACUACCGAUAACCGUUUGAGAGAAGGGAUGACACAGUAGGAUAAGCUAAGCACACUGUUGGUUAUGUGUGCCCAAGCAUUGAGGCAGUCAAAGUAGGCAAAUCCGCUUUGAUAAUGCUGGGGUGUGAUGGGGAGCGAAAUUUAGUAGCGAAGUAGCUGAUUUCACACUGUCAAGAAAAGUCUCUAUCGAGGGUAAAGGUACCCGUACCGCAAACCGACACAGGUGGGUGAGGAGAGUAUCCUAAGGCCAGCGAGAGAACUGUUGUUAAGGAACUCGGCAAAAUGACCCCGUAACUUAGGGAUAAGGGGUGCCACCAUCAGGUGGCCGCAGAGAAUAGGCCCAAGCGACUGUUUACCAAAAACAUAGGUUUCUGCUAAGUCGCAAGACGAUGUAUAGGAGCUGACGCCUGCCCGGUGCUGGAAGGUUAAGGGGAUCUGUUAGAGCAAUCGAAGCAGUGAACUUAAGCC